CCAAAACUUAGAAAUGAUCAAAGGAGUUGUGAUAUAAGGAUCAAAAAGUUGAAAGUAUCAUAUUCUCUAUACUUCCAUAGCAUAAUAACUCUACUCCCGUUUAUGCCUUUUACUGUUAAAACACGGGACGUGACGGAUCAAAUCCACUCGCAGCCAUAAACCACUCAUCUUAUUCGCCCAUGGUAUCUCUAAUUUAAAUAUCUGUUAUUAGCUAGACACAAAGAAUUUAAGUUACAAAAUAUUAAAUGUACGAAGUAGAAAUAAAUGGAAUAAUGAAUAAGAGGUAGUUUGAAAUACAAUGAAUAAAUAAAGGUAGAGCGGUCCAUGCUGAUGUGGUGGACCAUACACAUGCAAUAAUUUCUGCUACUCAGCCAACCAAUCACAUGCUACUUCAGGAAAUUAAGUAUUAGUUUGGCAAAAUAGUGUAGAGUGUAGACCCCCCCCCAACAAUAGUCUCUUUUGAGAUUGGUCUCUUAUGAUUUUAACCAAAUAAAUUAAAAAAUUCACCAAUUUUAACUAAUUCAAUCGGUUCUAUAUUUUAUAAUAUGAACUAUCCUCAAUAAUAUAUAUAAUUUUAAUUUAACUAUCCGUUUUGUAAUUAUAAAAUUAUUCUAUUUGAGUAAUAGCGAUUGAACAAUUAAUUAAAUGGGUUGAAGGUCAGAGGAAGGCAUGACAAAUUAAUAAGAGAAAUUUUUUACAUAACUAUAUAAAUUUUUAUUUUCCGAUAUAUUCAAUGCUUGGGUAAAUUACAUUUUUGGUCGUCAAACUACGAUGUAUUGACAUUGGGUUCUCAAAUUUUAAUUUGUUGACUUUCAUAUCACAUCUAUAUUAAUAAUUUGUCAAUAUUAAUUUGCCAAUUAAGUAAAUUAAUGUGUAAAACUUGAUGGUAGUAAUUUAGAAAAUUUGAGUUAGAAAUUAUAAUAAACUAAUGUUUAAGAACCAGAAUAUAACAUUCCUCGUAAUUACCGACCAUCCCUAGAGCAAGUGGCAAAGAGCUUGGUGGUUGGUACUCGAGACCCAAGUUCGAAUCCUAGUUAAUUCACAUUUCUAGCUAAGUUUAUUUCUAAAUGAAAUGAACGAAGCAGGUAGCGUACUACCUAUCUCUCAAAAAAAAAAAAAAAACAUUCCUCGUAAUUCGAGAACCAAACGUAUAAAGGCUUUUAUGGAGAACCAACAAUUAAUACAUCUCCUAAUAUAAUAUUAAUUAAAAUAAUUUUUUAUCAAAAUCUCGCAAUACCACUUAUAUUUAAUUUACAUUCAGGAGUACUACUACUACUACAACAUAUGACCCAUGCACACUGUAGAGCGUGAACCCUUUGCUAAGGCACAUUUAAUUCGCAUUACGUAACAUUAUAGAUUAUUUUAACAUAACCAUGCCAGAUAUUUGAUAUCUGCAAGUCAAAUUACUAGUGAUAUCGAUCACUGCGUUUGAUUUCAUAAAGUAAUAUAAUACUAAAUUAUAUUAUACACAAAAUUAUUAUAUUUAGUUUAUUCAAUAAUAUAAUAGAUAAAGUUAAGUCGUCUCGAAGAAUACAUGCAUGCACAUAACAUCAAGUCAAAAGAAUAAAAUAAAAUGUUCUUAGGCCGCAACGUAGAGACAACUUAUAUCCUCGUACGCAAGUAAUUAUUAUUUUGUGCACCCGGCGUACGUGCUUUGUCUAAUACACGGCACUUAGUUUUUAAAUAAUAAUUUUAUAUUUAACUUCAAUAUUUUAAUAUAUUAAAUACAAAUAAUUUAAUUUAUAAAUUUGUUUUGUAGUUUUAUAACCAAAUUUAAUAAUUAUUAUAUUUUUUUUAAAUUUAUUAAAAAUAAUAUGAAGGUGAAGGAUAGAACUGAUAGAAUAUCAAGGUAUGUAAAAUAAAUAGAGAAAUAAAUACAUACCAAAAUUUAGGAUCAAAAUAAGAAUAUAAGAUAACUCACAGAGCGCCAUCGAAAAGAAAUUUCUGAUCAACUUGCGGAAGCGUGAUGUCCGACUAUGAUCUGAAAGUCACGAACCGAACUUGGGUGAUUUGGUUUUUCCUCCUAUAUCAUGCACUCUGCAGUAUGGUGUGGAACCGAUAGCAAUUCUUUACCAGAAUGCGUAUGAGAAGGUGGCAGGACCAAUACCCCUUUAUAUAGAGUCCAGAUCGACUUUCCAUCAAAGUCUGAUUAGGAUUCUAUUUAAAUUUAAAAUAGAUGGGAUAGGAAUAAAAUAUACCAUAUCAAGUAGUUCUAAAUCUGUUAGGAUUGACCUUUAUCUAUAGCAAAUCCUAAUUUAAAUAUGAUUAAUUGGGCCACAAUAUAUGAAAAUCCUAACAAUUUCCCACUUGGCUCAUAUUAAUCAUAUUCCAUUAACGGAUUUUCUAUACUCCAAACUUUAUUGCGCAUUAUUGGAAACUUUAUGGUCAAAUACCUUAGAACUCACUUGAUCUUUAGCUCAAACUAAAAGACUUCAAUGAUAGGAACUAUGGCGGUCCACCUCUUCAUAACGAAAUUUUCCUUCCAUAAUUACCAUAUCAUCUUCACCUUCUAGCCGAGUACUUUAUAUGGUACAACUUUAUGAAUGAACUUAAACUGUAUAUUCAUUCGUUAAUAGAUGAAACUUUAUGUCUAUUAAAUGGUCCAAUACAGCUGCAUUAAACUUUAAUUUUAUUGAAAGAAAAUAAGUAUUACAAUUUUAUACAUCGAAGAAUUAAUUAAACCCAUACUUUUAAUACGAUCUGUAUAUGACCCAGAUGCCGGCCCCUUGGUCAUUGGGUUUGCAAUCAUACACUUGAUACUGAUAUAUUCAAUUGUAACAUAACCUUCAUAUAUCUUCUCUCUUAUAACAAGAUAUUUGGUGUCCAAGUGUUUACACCCUACUGUAAUCUUGUUGUUAUUGGCAAUGAAAAUCGCAGCUGAACUAUCACAGAAAAUCUUUAUUGGAUAAAUACCGAAGUCCACAAUUCUUAAGUCUGUGAUAAAAUUCCUAACCCAAAAAGCCUGUGAUGUGGUAUCGUAACAUGCAAUAUGAUCCAAAAUUUUCUUUAAAUACCUUAUAACCUUCUUAGUAGCCUUCCAAUGCUCCAUAUCUGGUUUACUUUGAUAUCUGCCAAGUAAUCCAACGGCAAAAGCAAUUUCCGGACGUGUGCACAGUUGUGCAUACACAAGACUACCAACUGUAGAGGCAUAGGAUUUGUUUUUUCAUCUGUUCAAUUUCUAAUUGGUUCUGGGACACUAAAAAGCAUUAAACUUAUCCGCUUUCUAGACAAGAGCAAUACUGGACUUAUAUGCAAUAGCCCAAGAUCAUUACUGGCAAACAAAAUAUCAUCAAUAUAAAGGACUAAGACAAUUAUUUUACUCCCACUAGCCUUUAAAUAAAUACAUUGAUCAACAAUAUUUUCCUUAAAACCAAAGGUAAAAAUAAUUUGAAACAAUUUGAGAUACCACUGUUGGGAGGCCUGUUUUAGUCCAUAUAUUGAUUUCUUUAAUUUGCAUACCAAAUGCUCCUUUCCCUUUUGCGAGAAUCCUUCAGGUUGAUUCAUAUACACCUCUUCAUAGAGAUCCUCAUUUAAAAAGCAGUUUUGACAUCUAUCUGGUGUAGCUCGAGAUCAAAAUGAGCAACCAGAGCCAUAAUAAUACGGAAAGAUUCCUUUCUAGAUACUAGAGAGAAAGUCUCUUUAUAAUCAUUGCCUUCCUUCUGAGUGAAUCCUUUUGCCACAAGUCGGGCCUUGUAUCUCUCUAUGUUACCCUUGGAGUCCCAUUUGAUUUUAUAAACCCACUUGCAUCUUACGGGUUUAACUCCUAUAGGUAACUCAACAAGAUCCCAUACCUUAUUGUAGUUCAUGGAUUCAAUCUCAUCCUUCAUGGCAUUGUACUAUUCCGUAGAAUUAUUACUAUUUAUUGCUUCAGAAAAAUUAAGAGGAUCAUCUAAACUCUGACCAUUCUCAUAAAGAUAGACAAUAUAAUCACUGAAUAUAGCCGGUCUUCUCUGUCUUGAGAAUCUUCUUAAAUCUAUCUGAUUAUCCAUAUGUACAUCUUGAUGUGGAUUAUUCACUUGUACAUCUUGAUGUGAAUUAUCAAUAAUAGGUUCACAAUGAUUUUGUGGUUCCAAAAUGAUUUGUUGUUCUACUGGAAUAGGAACCAUCAAAUCGAGAGGGACAAUAGUGGGUCUGUCAUGUAUAGAAUCCGAAUGUUUUUGAAUUUCCUCAAAUUCAAUGAACCGAGGUUCAAAGCUCCCACUAAUUGCACCAUCCUCAAUAAACCGUGCUAUUUUAGUUUUUGCAAUCUUUAUAGGAAGUGAUGGACAGUAAAACUUAUACCCUUUGGAUCUUUCUGAAUAACCAAUAAAAUAUCCUGAUAUGGUUCGAGGAUCCAAUUUCUUUAUUUGUGGAUUAUACAAUUUGGCCUCAGCUUGACAACCUCAUGUGUGAAAAUGUUUUAAACUAGGUUUCCUACCUGUCCAAAGCUCAAAAGGAGUCUUAGUGAUAGCCUUAGUAGGGACCCGAUUAAGAAUAUACAGGGCAAUUAUGAGUGCCUCACUCCACAAUGAUAUCGAAAGGGUAGAAUUACUGAUCAUACUCCUGAGCAUAUCAAUUAAUGUGCGGUUCUUUCUUUCAGCAACACCAUUCUGAUCAGGUGUCCCUGGCAUGGUGUACUAUGGAACAAUUCCGCACUGCUCCAGAAACUUAGCAAAAAGUCCAGAGAUUUGGCCUUUAUCUGUUUGUCUGCCAAAAUAUUCACCACCUCUAUCUGAUCUGACUACUUUUAUCCUUUUCUCGAGUUGAUUCUAUACUUCAGCCUUAUAUGCCUUAAAGGCAUUUAAUAAUUCAGAUUUUUCUUUAAGUAGAGAUAACCAUAUCGAGAGUAGUCAUCAGUAAACGUGAUAAAAUAUUUAUGGCCAGUAAUUGAUAGAGGAAGAGGUCCGCAUAUAUCGAUAUGAAUCAACUCUAUUGUUCCAUCAUAUCUUUUAGCACCUUUAGAGGAAGUUUUGGUCUGCUUUCCCUUUAUGCAGUCCACACAUAUUCCAAAGUCAGAGAAGUCCAAAUCAUCUAAAAUGCCUUCUCUAAUUAAUCUUUGGAUUUUCUGUUUCAAGAUGUGUCCUAACCUCUUAUACCAUAACAUGAAUGACCUUAUAUUAUUAAUGCCACGUUUUGAUCCAACAUUUCCGUGCAUGGUAAGAAGGAUUUCACUAUAUGAAUCAUCCAAAAACAAUUUAUAUAUAUUAUUUUUUUCAAAAUACUAGAGCCAACUAUCUGAGAUUUAUAAGAUAAAGAAAAAACUUUAUUAUUAAANCUGGGCUGUUCGCUCAGGCGGGGACUGGUCUCUCCUUCAGGGACCGGUUCUCGAAGGCUCUCCCCGCGCAGCCAGAGCUGCUGCGCGCAGGGCAAUCGGUCUCUCUUUGGAGGACCGGUCUCUCAGGGACCGAUCUCUCAGGCAGGGACCGGUUCCCGAGAGCUAGUUUCUCAGGACUUAGCCGAUUUUUCGACUGUCUCAUUUCAUACGCGUUCGGGGACCGGUCUCUCCGACUAGGGACCGGUCCCCGAGAGCUCAAAUUCUGCAGUUUGCAGAAUUUUGAUUCUCUAGCUCUCGAAAACCUUCCACAACGCACUUUUACCCAUUUUAACACCUUCGGACUUUCCGAAGUGUACCAUCCUCGCACUUUGGUCAAUUUGACUAAAGUUCGAUAUUUAUUUUUCGAAUUUUCGGUAUAUUACAUUCUCCACCCCUUAAAUAAUUUCGUCCGCGAAAUUACGCAUACCUUAACUCGUCGAUUCGAAUAGAUACGAAUACUCUCUCCGCAUUGACUCCUCGAGCUCCCAAGUGGCUUCUCGCACAGCAUG
rnacentral:lncRNA from 1 species